rnacentral:rRNA from 1 species
UACGGAGGGUGCAAGCGUUAAUCGGAAUUACUGGGCGUAAAGCGCACGUAGGUGGUUUGUUAAGCUAGCUGUGAAAUCCCCGGGCUCAACCUGGGCACUGCAGUUAGAACUGGCAAGCUAGAGUAGGGUAGAGGGGUGUGGAAUUCCAGGUGUAGCGGUGAAAUGCGUAGAUAUCAGGAGGAACACCGGUGGCGAAGGCGGCAUCCUGGACCGGCAUUGACGCUGAGGAGCGAAAGCCAGGGGAGCAAACGGG